rnacentral:rRNA from 1 species
GACGAACCGUGCGAACGUUGUUCGGAAUCACUGGGCUUAAAGGGCGCGUAGGCGGGCGAGCGAGUCGGAGGUGAAAUCCCACGGCCCAACCGUGGAAGUGCCCCCGAUACUGCUCGUCUGGAGGGAGAUAGGGGCGUGCGGAACUUCCGGUGGAGCGGUGAAAUGCGUAGAUAUCUGGAGGAACACCGGUGGCGAAGGCGGCAUCCUGGACCGGCAUUGACGCUGAGGAGCGAAAGCCAGGGGAGCAAACGGG